rnacentral:rRNA from 1 species
GUGCCAGCAGCCGCCGCGGUAAUACGUAGGGUGCGAGCGUUAAUCGGAAUUACUGGGCGUAAAGCGUGCGCAGGCGGUUAUGUAAGACAGAUGUGAAAUCCCCGGGCUCAACCUGGGAACUGCAUUUGUGACUGCAUGGCUAGAGUACGGUAGAGGGGGAUGGAAUUCCGCGUGUAGCAGUGAAAUGCGUAGAGAUGUGGAGGAACACCGAUGGCGAAGGCAGCCCCCUGGGCCAAUACUGACGCUCAUGCACGAAAGCGUGGGUAGCAAACAGGAGUAGAUGCCCUGGUAGUCCACGCCC